CUACGGGCCGCAGCAGUGAGGAAUAUUGCACAAUGGGCGAAAGCCUGAUGCAGCGACAUCGCGUGGAGGAUGAAGGUCUUCGGAUUGUAAACUCCUGUUAAAUGGGAAUAAAGAAUCGUUUUUAAUAGAAACGAGUGAUGACAGUACCAUUAAAGAAAGCACCGGCUAACUUCGUGCCAGCAGCCGCGGUAAUACGAGGGGUGCAAACGUUAUUCGGAAUCACUGGGCGUAAAGGGUGUGUAGACGGUUUAAUAAGUCGAUUAUAAAAUCUCCUGGCUUAACUAGGAGUCCGUAAUCGAAACUAUUAAACUAGAGGAUGGAAGAGAGAAGUGGAAUUCUCGGAGUAGCGGUAAAAUGCGUAGAUCUCGAGAGGAACACCGAUGGCGAAAGCAGCUUCUUGGUCCAUAUCUGACGUUGAAACACGAAAGCGUGGGGAGCAAACAGGAUUAGAUACCCUGGUAGUC
rnacentral:rRNA from 1 species